AUCGUAGAUUUUUACAAUCUGUAUCUUUGACAAUUCUGGGUGCGAGUGUGAGAGUGUGAGCAGGGCUUGCUCCUGCCAACCACAAUUCAAUGAAUCCCCGACCCCCCUACCCCAUGCUGUACUUGUGGUUCUCUUUUUGUAUUUUGCAUCUGACCCCGGGGGGCUGGGACAGAUUGGCAAUGGGCCGUCCCCUCUCCCCUUGGUUCUGCACUGUUGCCAAUAAAAAGCUCUUAAAAACGCAUU
rnacentral:lncRNA from 1 species